rnacentral:rRNA from 1 species
AACGGACCUGACGGCAAGGGACGAAAGCUAGGGGCACGAACCGGAUUAGAUACCCGGGUAGUCCUAGCCGUAAACGAUACUCGCUAGGUGUCGGCAACGGUGCGACCGUUGUCGGUGCCGUAGGGAAGCCGUGAAGCGAGCCACCUGGGAAGUACGGCCGCAAGGCUGAAACUUAAAGGAAUUGGCGGGGGAGCACCACAACGCGUGGAGCCUGCGGUUUAAUUGGAUUCAACGCCGGACAUCUCACCAGAGGCGACAGCUGUAUGAUAGCCAGGUUGAUGACUUUGCUUGACUAGCU